CCACAAUCAAGGGGAGGGUAGAUAUGUUCUACCUCUUGACAUGUAGUAUGAACAUAAAGUUGAUUCCUGAGCUGUGAUGACUUUCCACUGACCAUACUACUGCAAUGAUGUUAUUCUGGGCCAAACUUCGGAAUCAAUUCUUGUCUGCUGCCUGAUUCAAUUAUUUUUAAUGCACCCUGUGGAUUUUUACUUGCUAAAGUAGAAAGAAGAUCCCAACAUUUGAUGAGAAAAUAUACAGAAGGGAGGCUGAUCCCGGGUGCACUGUGGCAGGUGGCAGUAUAGAUUUUUGUGAAGCAGCAGUGUGCUGUGAUAUGAGUAGCAGAUGAAGAAGGAAGGAAAUGAAGUCACUCAAUUCUUAUAUGGCAUAAUUACUCUUAUAUUUGGAAUCAACAUGUGGAAUUUCUAGAUAGAUGGAGUCUCAAUAUGUUUCCCAGGCUGGUCUGGAACUCCUGGCUUCAAACAAUCUUCCUGCCUCAACCUCCCAAAAUGCUGGAAUAACAGGAGUUGAGCCAUCAUUCCUAGACUCAGAUGUUUCAAAUCUACUAAUUUAUGGAUGUUACUGAUACCACCUUAGCCCAGAUAUUUCCAAUUGCAGGUGUUUUUAUUUGCCUGAAGUCAUUUACUAGCACUGCAGUUAAAGUAAACUUUUUAAAACACAAAAUACAUUGUGCCACAUGCCAACUGAAAAUAUACAUGCAUACCUCAGUUUUUGGGCCUCACUUUAUUGCACUUUACAGAUGUUGUAUUUUUUUUUUGCAAAUUGAAAGUUUUUGGCAAUCCUGCAUUGAAUAAAUCUAUCAGAGCCAUUU
rnacentral:lncRNA from 1 species